rnacentral:rRNA from 1 species
UACGAAGGGGGCUAGCGUUGCUCGGGAUCACUGGGCGUAAAGGGUGCGUAGGCGGCUUUCUAAGUCGGGGGUGAAAUCCUGGAGCUCAACUCCAGAACUGCCUUCGAUACUGGAGAGCUCGAGUCCGGGAGAGGUGAGUGGAACUGCGAGUGUAGAGGUGAAAUUCGUAGAUAUUCGCAAGAACACCAGUGGCGAAGGCGGCUCACUGGCCCGGUACUGACGCUGAGGUGCGAAAGCGUGGGGAGCAAACAGG